UCUCUUUGGGCUCUCUUCGUACUCUUUUUUUUUUCUUUUUUAUAAUCUAUACUUACCUCACUGACUUAUAGAAUCGUUUCGGUUUUUUGUGAUCAAUUGCUGCUUUUUAAAAAUGAUUGUGAAUGAAUUAACUAUAUUUAUAUAAAUAUAUAAAAACUUUAAAUUUCGCAAAUAUAAGAAUAUUUUAUGAAAUCACAGUUAUUAAGGCCGUUCGUUAAAUUUCAUUCGAAGCAUGUAUAUCUUAGGUAAUAAUAUAUUUAAAAAAAAAAAAAAAAAAAAAAAAAAAAACACGCAAGAAAAUAUCCGAUAUUACUUGAGAUCGAGUGUAUAUCAUAUAAAAAAUGAUAUAUAUUAUAUCGAAAAUAAAUGUAACCACGUGGAGGUUACUGAUUCUGAAGAUUCACGGUUUUGCGGUAACUCUGUUCUUUUAUGUUACUAUAUUAUGGUUACUUAAAAAUCAAAGCAAAAAUUAAAUUCCGGAAUGACGUGCCAUUUACAAUUAGGGAGAAUUCAGGUCUCAACACUAACUGCAAACGGUUUAGGCUUGACUGAUCGAUAGUUCAAUCAUCCAACACCGGAAGCUUCAGUCAUCAUUAUUAAGUACGAUCAGUCGUGAUUUCGCGAUUCUGCAGAUUACUUUGGGAUCUAUGGUUGGACUUAAUCACGCCUAUGGAUACCUGUAUCCGUGGCCACUAAUACGAGUGUUCUAUUUAUCUUAUCCACGUGGGAAAAAGAAUCUUCUUUCUAUAUAUAAUGCGAAACGAUUCGAAAAACUCCCUCUUAUAAAAAUCUAAAUCGAUGUGAGUCGUAACUUCCUCGACGAUAAAUGGAUCCAAUCUAAAAAAAAAAAAGGGUUCUUAGGAAGAUUCAACCUGGAAGAAGAAGGAGUAAAGAAAAAAAAAAAAAUCUCACCCAAUCAUAAAAGUCCCUUUUUAAUAAAGGCUCACCCAACUAUAAAAAUUUCUUUUUUAGUGAAGUCUCCUCCAAAAGUAUUUUUGGAAAGAAUAAUAAAUCGAGAUAGUAUAAUAGAACGCGUGCGAGCAUAUAAAAAGAUAAAAACUGAUAACGAGAAAUUGGCAUCUUGAAUAUCGUCGUAACGAGCAAAAAGAAAUUAAAUCGAGGUUGAUAUAAAAGAGAUGAUCCGCUUAAAAGUUCAAACGAAGAUCCUUACGAAAAUAGUUAGUCUCAUCACGUGAAAAUAAUUGUUAAGUAAUGCACAAUUUAACGAUGACUUCUACUUAUAUAUAAUUAUUCUUUUAAAAUUGAGACAAAUUGCAAUCGCAUUUAAUGUCUUUUGAAAGAAAGCACGAAAAAUCGAUAGUAUCGCAAGAUCUAUUAGACUAAUCGAAAAGUAGAAAAGAACUGUUCGGCAUUUCAUCUAAUUGAAAGGUUUUAUAUUCUCUCUGGUAUCAAACUUUAAAUCACAUUGUGUGCGUGUAUUCAAGACGAUUGUUUUUUAAAUCAAUAGUACAGCGAGAUCUAUUUAUUUAAUCGAAAAGUAAAAAAUAAUCAUUUUACUACCGAUUAAUUACAUAAUUACUAUCAACUAUUAUUUCACAUUGAUUUCAUGAGAGAAUUUCAUCAAUUUAAUUAUGUUCAUGAUGUAUAUAAUAUUUAACUUCUUCUAUUUAUUCCCCUUAUCAUUAUUAUUAUAAUAAUGAUACAAAGUGGACCUAGUCUUAAAAAGGAAAUUUUUAAGUGAUUUUCUUUAUAAAAGAAAAAAAAAAAGAGAGAAAAUAGCAUGAUUCUUAUCCAAAGAAAAUUCAUGUCUUUUUUUUUUUUUUCAAAAGUUCUAACAAUCCAUCUGCUCGUGUAAACGUUCCUCUUUAAAACGAGACCUUGUUCAUUUAAAUUAUCGAAGGAUUAUGUCCAGAUUCAUUGCUGACGUAAAUUAUUAUAAAACCAGGGUUGAUAAACAGGUUUAAGUUGUGAAAUUGCACUGAGUAAAUUUCUUCCUGACGCAAUUUGAAGAUGGGCCACUCUGCUCUAGUCACCGCUCAACUUCAUUUCAAUAUUAUAAGCUGACUCUCGGCAAACAGUAUUUCAACUCAACUGAUCUUAAAUGAAUAUCAAGGAUGUUAUAUCUUAAGAGACUUCGUUUUAAAAGUAUAACGUUAUUCACGGCAUACGUUGAUAUUCUCUUCUAAGGAAUACCUCCUUAUUCUUGAAGAAAAAGGUAAGAAAAAAUGAUAAAGAUUACCCUACUUUCUGGUUGUCGGCAUAAGAAGAAAGACGACGGCGAGCAUAAACGAAAUAGAAAAUCCCGCCUCGGAGUAUGCAUGGCUUUGUUUGAAGUUCUGAUUGGCUCGUUACGUGAAAACCCGCGAGAUGCAAAGUAUACGUCCGUGUUACGAAGCUUCGUUCCGCUUUAUUUUCGUAAUCCGCAAAGGACGUACUCUCUCUCUCUCUCUUUCUCUCUCUUUUUCUCUCUUUCUCUUUCUCUUUCUAUCUUUAUUCGUGCGAACGUCCGCACUCGUACAGCGAUACAAGAAAGUUAAAAAACGAGAGAAAAGAUACGAUCAAAGUAAAGUUGGAUUUUAGUACUCUGUAAAAUCGUUUUCUAUCCAAAUAACGUAGAAUACUUUCUCUACGAAGGACUCUCGUGCAAUCAGAAUUCCUGGAAGAUCGAUCGAUCUUCGAUCGAAAGAGAGAAAGAGAAAAAGAGAAAAAGAGAUUCGCGUUGCAAGCACCUACGAAAUUGCAUACUAGAAUUGCCAAAAUGCACUGAUUGCACUUGGUAAUAUUAUCCUUGAAUAUAUUUUCACGGCUCGGAAUUAGGCAUAUAUAUAUAUAUAUAUAUAUAUAUAUAUAUAUAUAUAUAUACAUAUACAGAUUUAUAUAAAAUGUAUACUCAUUUAUUUACAUAAAUUCAAUGCUUACAGAAAAAAAAAAAGUAUUCACAACUGCGGUGAAUUUAUAUAGGAAAUAGUAAUGCGAACGUAACACGGUAUAGUUCUAAUUUACAGCAGCUUAUUCGUUUGCUAGCUAACCCCUGACACUCUUUAAUCUCCUAUGAGCCACCCUCUUGUGAGUAUCCAGAGAGGCCGAGCUUUUACCUACUGUAUUUCGAAAUUCUCCCUCGUUUUCAUAACAAAUAUUAAUUAUUUACUUGUUUCAAACUCUAUUAAAAUUUUAGAAAUUGUUACUGCAGAAUUAUAGAAUAAAUAUCUCAUUUAUUCUCUCUUUCUUUCACGGUUAUUCUCUCCCUCGAAAUAACGUAAUAUGUUAUUAUACGCUCAUAAUUACAUGAUACGCAUUCGAACUUCGACGUUAUUUCUCUCUUACUUCUUUGAACGAUAUAUCCAUUUAAAUCUUGGGAUUUUAUAUAUAUAUAUAUAUAUAUUUGAUCAGUCUGUACUAAUUAGUGUUUAUUUUUGGCUUUAUCACGUAAAAGAAGAGUUAAAGAGAAGGGACACGCGUUCUUUACUGUCGUCGUUUAAAAACAUGGACACGAUGCUUUGAAAGAAAAAUACCCUUGAUUACGAUGAGAGACAAAGAGAGGUAAUUUACUAAUGGCUUUCGAAACAAAGAGCGACGCUAUCGGCUUUGUUGCUUGGGUAAAUGAGGACAAAUGGUUACGGAAUUCCGCAAGGCCGUAAAGAAUCCACACGUUGGAUUUAUCGCGUUGUCGUGAGAAAGAGUUCUCGCCUAACCUACCUAUGUAAUACCUACGUACAUAUAUAUAUAUAUAUAUAUAUAUAUAUAUAUAUUUUUUUUUUGUCCUAGACUUCUUUUAUAUUUGUAGUGUUUCCUUUUUGUUUGUUUUAUGUAAAUGUACUUGGUUGUCAUCGUUAAAAAUAUAAUCUCUCGUUCCUUGUAGUUUACCCAAUGAUACACCGUUUGUAUGACAAAGGAGAGAAAAAGAACGUAAGAUAAUGUAAGACAACGUAGAAACUUCCACGGUAAACGUGAGUCGAUUUUCCAUGCAAGCCAAAAUCGAAUAUUUCAUCGACGCUUUCUCGCACGAUUUCUUUGCUCGUGACAAAGAAGAAAAUCAACGACGCAAGUCGCACACGCUAGCGAAGUUUCCCAAACAAUCGUCGUAAUUAAGCGCAGCGCAAUCAGGUCGCCAGUUUAAUUAAUUGCAACGCGGUGGCUAGGAAGUACUUUAGGGUCGGAGAUUUCAACAGAUCGAUUCGUAAUUCCAAUUUAAUCGUGGUUUGCCUGGUUUUGCUCUUUCUCUCUCUCUCUCUCUCUCUUUCUCUCUCUCUCUCUCUCUCUCUCUCUCUCUCUCUCUCUCUCUCUCUCUCUUUUACAUAUAAGCAUUCCAGUCUAAAUGUUUCAGAGAGCAACGUAUAUGAAAUUAUUCCAGAUCUUAGAUACUUAGAACUCAACCAUCGAAUUCUUUUUAUUGGAUGGUUUGGUUAUAACCGAGUAGUAAGAAAAAUUUAUUACAAUGGUCGUUUCGAUUAUCAUCCAUAAAACAUUUUACAUUUUUUUAUGAUAAAAAAAAAAAAAAAAAAAAAAAAAAAGAAGAAAAAAAAUAAAAGCGAAAGAGAAACGCCAGAAGCUGUGCCAUCCCGCAUAAUAAAAUUUUUCCGUAACACAUUCCGUAAAUCAUUUCCCAACGAAUUUUACGUAUGCAUGGGUUUAUGUCUACGUAUGUAUACUCGAAUAUCGGUAAGCUUUUAAUGGUUCUCAGCAAAUGUGGCUAUAAUUAUUUAUCGUUUCUAUUUACGAGAUGAGAAAGAAUCUGCGUAUGUGUUUGCGUCUUUUUUUUUCUUUUUUUAUUUUUUUUUUUUUUUUUAUCAUAAAAAAAUGUAACAAAUGCAUGCAUUGUUAUUAAUUUGAAAAUUUAUGGAUUAUAAUGAUGGGCAGAUUUACGUUUCUGAUAAACGAGGUUUCGUAACGUUAAAAAAAAAAAAAAAAAAAAAAAAAACUAACUUAAUUAACAAUCGGAUUUUUAUUAGGAGAGUUGGUUUCUUGCGUUUCUUAUCAUAACCUCGAGGCAAUGAAGUUACAUACGAGCUGUUUUUUUUCUUUUUUUUUUUUUUUUUUUUUAGAAGGAAUAUUCUCUCGUUACUUCUUUAAUUUCUUUCAUAUAUUUUUUCAGUAAUUUCCUAAAAGAAAAAUAUAAGUAUUUUAUGAACCUUAAAUGUUCUCAUAAAAUCGUAUAAUAUUUUAAUUAAUGUUUUUUUUUUUUCUUUUUCAUCGAAAAAGAUUCAAUAAUUGAAGUUAGAAAUAAAUCUCUUAUAUCACAUUUUAUGAUACAGCACGUAUAAUAUUAAUGAGUUUUCUCGAGAGAUCAAAAAUCUUGGGCGCAAUUAAUAGAACGAAGAGAAUAAAGAAGAAGAAGAAAAGCAAUUUGGAAACCUGAAGAAGGAACCUCAUUCCAAUUUGCUUGGUGUUCGUUCUUUUAAAGCUCGUAAUGCCGUUCCAGAACGGCAUUACACUGAAGUCGUCGUUAUGUACGAGCCGCACGUAUGUACGUUCACCUUUAACCACGAGGAAAAGCAAGGCGGGUCUCUUGCAGACACUUCCAGUGGGCGCACCGAUUAAUCUCUAACGAAUUUAUGGCUUUACGGCGUUGCGCUGUUUUCCGCCUUUACUCGCGUUUCCUUCGUUACCUCGGCUACGAUCUCGCUCUCCUGUAAAGUCAGGGAUGUGUAUAUGUGUGUGAAAGAGAAAGAGAGGGAAAAAGAGAGAGAGAGAGAGAGAAAGAGAGAGAGAACACUAGCCAUACGACAGUGCAAAAUUAAUCUGACGCAAACCAGAUUUAAUUGCUCAACGCUGCCUCACAGAGGAUUUGAAUCUUCCACCAAAGGAGGCUUGCUCGAGAGAUGAAGGAGUGUUAAGAGAUCUUACUAGGAUGAUAUAGUAUAUUGGGAAAUUAAUAACUUUCUCUUAUGAGAAAGAGAGGGAAAAAUAUAUUUCUUGGCCGUAUUAAAUCUAGACGAAGGAAAGAUCUAAGCCGAGGUCGAAGAGAAAAUAUUUUAUCAGAAAACACCUUCCGGCGUAUAGCAAAUAUAUCCGAUAACCGCGUUGAUUCUUUGGGAUACUUUAAUCAAACCGAACACGGAUUAUUAAGAAAAAAAAAAAAAAAAAGUAAGAAAGAAAGAAAAAUAAGUAAGACGAUUGAUCCUAAAAGAAACAAUGGAGAAUAAAGGUUUUGACAAAAAAAAAAAAAAAAAAAAAAAAAAAAGAAAGAAAAAAGAAAAGAAAAAAGAAAGGAAAAAAAAAGGAAACGAUGACGAAGUAGUAGAUAAAGC